rnacentral:piRNA from 1 species
CCACAUUCUUGCUGUGCUCUACUGGU